rnacentral:rRNA from 1 species
GGUGGUGCAUGGUCGUCGUCAGCUCGUGUCGUGAGAUGUUGGGUUAAGUCCCGCAACGAGCGCAACCCUUGUUACUAGUUGCCAGCAUUAAGUUGGGCACUCUAGUGAGACUGCCGGUGACAAACCGGAGGAAGGUGGGGACGACGUCAGAUCAUCAUGCCCCUUAUGACCUGGGCUACACACGUGCUACAAUGGACGGUACAACGAGUCGCGAACUCGCGAGGGCAAGCAAAUCUCUUAAAACCGUUCUCAGUUCGGACUGCAGGCUGCAACUCGCCUGCACGAAGUCGGAAUCGCUAGUAAUCGCGGAUCAGCAUGCCGCGGUGAAUACGUUCCCGGGCCUUGUACAC